AAUGAACGCUGGCGGCGUGCCUAAUACAUGCAAGUCGAACGGGGAAAGCUUUCGGGUGAGUACUAGUGGCGCACGGGUGAGGAACGCGUGGAUAAUCUGCCUUAGAGUGGGGGAUAACUAGUCGAAAGAUUAGCUAAUACCGCAUAAGACCACAGGAGCUGCGGCUCAAGGGGUCAAAGGUUUUUCGCUCUAAGAUGAGUCCGCGUAAGAUUAGCUAGUUGGUGAGGUAACGGCUCACCAAGGCGACGAUCUUUAACUGGUCUGAGAGGAUGAUCAGUCACACUGGAACUGAGACACGGUCCAGACUCCUACGGGAGGCAGCAGUAGGGAAUAUUGCAUAAUGGAGGAAACUCUGAUGCAGCGACGCCGCGUGAGUGAUGAGGGCCUUCGGGUCGUAAAGCUCUGUCGCAGGGGAAUAACACAAUGAAUGUACCCUGUAAGAAAGGAUCGGCUAACUUCGUGCCAGCCGCCGCGGUAAAAC
rnacentral:rRNA from 1 species